rnacentral:rRNA from 1 species
UACAGAGGGUGCGAGCGUUAAUCGGAAUUACUGGGCGUAAAGCGCGCGUAGGCGGCUUUGCAAGUCGGGUGUGAAAUCCCCAGGCUUAACCUGGGAACUGCAUUCGAGACUGCAUUGCUAGAGUAUGGGAGAGGGAAGUGGAAUUUCCGGUGUAGAGGUGAAAUUCGUAGAUAUCGGGAGGAACACCAGUGGCGAAGGCGGCGAUCUGGGAAGAUACUGACGCUGAGGUGCGAAAGCGUGGGGAGCAAACAGG